rnacentral:rRNA from 1 species
GACGAACGCUGGCGGCGUGCUUAACACAUGCAAGUCGAACGGAAAGGCCCUGCUUUUGUGGGGUGCUCGAGUGGCGAACGGGUGGGUAACACGUGAGUAACCUGCCCUUGACUUUGGGAUAACUUCAGGAAACUGGGGCUAAUACCGGAUAGGAGCUCCUGCUGCAUGGUGGGGGUUGGAAAGUUUCGGCGGUUGGGGAUGGACUCGCGGCUUAUCAGCUUGUUGGUGGGGUAGUGGCUUACCAAGGCUUUGACGGGUAGCCCGCCUGAGAGGGUGACCGGCCACAUUGGGACUGAGAUACGGCCCAGACUCCUACGGGAGGCAGCAGGGGGGAAUAUUGCACAAUGGGCGGAAGCCUGAUGCAGCAACGCCGCGUGCGGGAUGACGGCCUUCGGGUUGUAAACCGCUUUCGCCUGUGACGAAGCGUGAGUGACGGUAAUGGGUAAAGAAGCACCGGCUAACUACGUG